rnacentral:lncRNA from 1 species
UUAAACAUGAAUGCUUAUAAGAUUUACUAAAAAUCCCUAUUCAAUUUGACCAAAUCAGUAAGAGGACGAUUUUGUUGAUAUUCUUUCUGACACAUUUCGGACGGAUCUGAAAUGAGUAUUUUGAAUUUCAAACAGAUCUUUCAAUUCCCCUUCCAAAAUCUUGUUUUUCUCCUAUAAAUACUCCUCAAAUCUUCAGCCGAAAGAUCAUAUUUUGAAUCCUGAAAAAUAGUUAGAACACGACAAAAUCGAUUCAACAAGUAAUUUUUUUUCUUUUCUGUAAUCUCUGUCCCUAUUUAGUUCCACUAAAACAGAGUUCGAUCUUGUUACUUGGAGGAAGUACAUGCGAAAUCUCAAAGUUUUAGUUCACUGCCUCCUAAAAGGUUAGCUCUAAACCGGAUUUCUAUUAGAAAUGGUUAAGUUUUUAAUCAUGAUUUAGAGAUACAUGUCUACCCUUUGAUAUUAAGAUUUUCCUCAAUUCGUUUACCAUUUUUCUAAAAUGUAAUUUGACAACUUUAGUGAUUUGAAGCUUAUAAAAUCAUUUUUCUUCUGUAUCUCUUUUAUACCUCUUCUAGAAAUUUUAUUGUCUUGUUGAUGCUUUAUUCUCACAUAGGAGUAGAUUAUAAAUGUAUUGAUGGUUAUUAUGUUGUAUACCGAUUUAUGAUCUAGUAAAGUGUUUCUUACAUAUUUUUCGAAUUCUUGUUAAACUAAUUGAGUAAUUCUAAGGUCAUUUGCGUAAAUAAUUUUUAAAAUACAAGGUUUGAACUUUAGGUUUCUUAUUUUUUUCAAGUCAUGACUCAUAUAUCAUAAAUUAGAGAUUAAGUUAAAGGAAAUUGGGUUAAGUCUUCUCUCUGGUUCACUUUUAGUUACAAUAUAAAUUUGUACGCUUUCAUAAAUUAAUGAUUUUAAUUUGUUCUUAGAUAUCACUACGUUAGGAAUUAUUUUAUUCAGGUCUAAUCUUUGUUUUGCUUACCCAUAUAUUUGAAUAAAAAUGUCUUCUAAUACUUAUUAAUACGUCUCUUUUCUGUUUUCGCGUGCUAAUAGAAAUUCUUACUGUAAGCUUAUUUCAAACUUUAGAUGCCAUAAGCUUACUAUUUUACUGGUUUUGAAUAUUGUGUGAUUCCUCUAAAAUAUAUGUUGGGGAAUUCAGUAAUUUUAUCAUUAAAAUAACAGGUGAUAUAACUUUUUUUUUUAAAAGCAAGUCAAUAGUCAUAAUAGCAUAUGCUUAUGAUGUCUUAAGCAUGAGUGAUAAAAGUAAAAUUUGUUGGCCCAUGCUUGUUGAAUAACAGUAUAGUUUUUUUUCCUCUCAUAUAGAACUUUAAAUAUCAAGAUAAUUUCUGUUAAAAGUCUUAAUAAAUUAUUUACAGUACUACUUUAUAAAAUAGAAUUUCUUGGAUGCAUUCUAUGGUCCCGCGUUUCUUGGAACAUUUCAGGUUUAACAGAUGUUAUAUUAUCAAGAAUUAAGUUUCUUUUCUAAUUCUAUUUUUUUCCUUGUCAAUUCUCGAAAUGCCUUUCUGGAUAUUCCUCAAUGUCCCGGCUAUUCACGGAACGUGAGAAGCAGAUGAUUAAUCAUCUUUUUCCGAAAGAAAUCGAAGAAUUUUUUGGGAAUACUACAAGAUCCGUUCGUUUUCUUUGAAUAUACACUUGGAGGAAAAAAUGUAGUCACUCAGCACUACCCGAGCAUGAAGUCAUCAUAUCCUAUAUCGUCUUCUUUAGAAUGCACCAAAUAGCUAGAAAACAAGCGAAAUGCUUGGAUGCGUCUAUGGUGUUCUUCUUUUUCUUUUAAUUCUUCUGCCAUUUAUUUUAUCUAACUUUUGUGAUCGUUAAUUUGCUUGCGUAUUUGGGUACUAUCUCAAUUUUGGCAUUUAAUCAUCUAGAUUCUUUGUCUAUUACUUGCAUUUUUUCACAUGGCAUGACAGUUAGAAUAAGAGGUUUUAAAAGUAGUAAUAAAUUUUCACCCAUUUCCCACUAGCUUAUCUAUUUUACUAAGUAAGCCACUAUAUUUGUAUUCUUCCAAACAAAGUCAAUUUGUCAAGACGACACUUGCGAAAGCUUGUAGUCAAUUUAUUUACAAUAUUAUUAAGUUGAAAAUUUCUUUAUAAUUGGUAUACUAGCUAAUCAUUUCCAAGAAUAAACCUACCAUACGUUUUUUAGCAACUUGAAUAUAAUUUGAAAUUCUUUUCAGCUGCUCUCUUUUGAGAACUCUCAUUUGAAUUUAAAUAAAAGAUUUUCCUAAACCGUAAAAGCUAACUCCAAAAGAACUUAGUUAAUAUUAAUGUAAAACGCCGUCUUAUUUUCUAUAUACUUGGCAUGCGCAUUAACUUUGAUGUUUAGGCAUACAAUUAUCUAAGUAUGCCUAAACACUCUUCCUAAUAUCAAGUAUACUAGUUAUUUCCUUUAUGUCAUGGUCCUUGCAGUUAUUGGAAAAUAAAAUUUUGGAUUUAGCAUUAUUAAUUCUUAGUCCUAACAUUUUACUAAACAGACA